UCUGUCCGGGAUUUAGAAGUUCCUGCCACUCCGGAUUAUAACAGAAAUUUUCGGACAGGGAUGUCCGAAAAAGGCACAACCGCCAUGGAUGGCGGAUUUGUGCCGCUUUCGUACGAUUCCGGUAUAGCGAAUCCGGAGUGCAUGGAACUUCUUAUCCCGGAUAGC
rfam:Clostridiales bacterium 44_9 Ley3_66761_scaffold_3365, whole genome shotgun sequence.